rnacentral:lncRNA from 1 species
CAUCGCUAAGUAUUUAAAGGGGGGUGCGUCGGGUGAUUGGAUUCAUUCAGAUUUCCAAUUCUUCCUUUCUUUCUAACAAUCUCUCCCUAUUAUCCAAUUAGUCUCUUCCUUCUCUUGUUAGGAUAAGUCUAAAAAUAGUAAGGACAAGUCCGAUAUUAGGACAAGAGUCUAUGAAGAGAAUUAAGGAAGACAAGGAGAGAAGAAAGAUAGGGAUAGGAAGGCAG